rnacentral:lncRNA from 1 species
UAGGGUUUGAACUCAGGGCCCUGCACUUGCUAGGCAGGAACUUUAUCACUUGAGCCACACCCCCAGCCCUAUAUUAUAAUUCUUUACUUUUCAGUCAGUGUUUUUAUAAAAUAGCAUUUUUUUUCUACUUUCAGAUGAGUGUUCCGGAUGCAAGAGAAACCAAAAUGGUGUGGCCGUUUACCAAAACCUGCUAAAGCUGACUUCCCUGACAUCUCUGGACCCUUGUGCCGUCCGGGGCAGAAAGGGUGUGGGAUGACAGGCAGGUUAACAGAAAAACCUUGAAGAGGGGACUGGAGGAUUUAGUCGCUCUUUGCUCCCCUCCUGGCAGCCCAGGGUCCUCC